GACGAACGCUGGCGGCGUGCCUAAUACAUGCAAGUCGAGCGAUGAUUAAAGAUAGCUUGCUAUUUUUAUGAAGAGCGGCGAACGGGUGAGUAACGCGUGGGAAAUCUGCCGAGUAGCGGGGGACAACGUUUGGAAACGAACGCUAAUACCGCAUAACAAUGAGAAUCGCAUGAUUCUUAUUUGAAAGAAGCCAUUGCUUCACCACUUGAUGAUCCCGGGUUGUAUUAGCUGGUUGGUAGUGUAAAGGACUACCAAGGCGAUGAUACAUAGCCGACCUGAGAGGGUGAUCGGCCACACUGGGACUGAGACACGGCCCAGACUCCUACGGGAGGCAGCAGUAGGGAAUCUUCGGCAAUGGGGGCAACCCUGACCGAGCAACGCCGCGUGAGUGAAGAAGGUUUUCGGAUCGUAAAACUCUGUUGUUAGAGAAGAACGUUAAGUAGAGUGGAAAAUUACUUAAGUGACGGUAUCUAACCAGAAAGGGACGGCUAACUACGUGCCAGCAGCCGCCGUAAUAC
rnacentral:rRNA from 1 species